AUUGAACGCUGGCGGCAGGCCUAACACAUGCAAGUCGAGCGGAUGAAGGGAGCUUGCUCCUGGAUUCAGCGGCGGACGGGUGAGUAAUGCCUAGGCAACUGCCUGGUAGUGGGGGAUAAAGCCCGGAAAAGGGCGCUAAUUCCGCAUACGUCCUGAGGGAGAAAGUGGCGGCUCUUCGGACCUUACGCUAUCAGAUGAGCCUCGGUCGGACUAGCUAGUUGUUGGGGUAGAGGCCUGCCAACGCGACGAUCCGUAACUGGGCUGAGAGGAGGAUCAGUCACACAGGAGCUGAGACGCGAGCCAGACUCCUACGGGAGGCAGCGGUGGGGAAUGGUGGAAGAUGGGCGAAAGCCUGAACCAGCCAUGCCGCGUGUAUGAAGAAGGGCUUCGGAUUGUAAAACGCUUUUAGUUGGGUAAAAGGGCAGUAGGAUGAAACCCGGCAGUGUGGACGUUACCGACAGAAUAAGCACCGGCGAACAUCGU
rnacentral:rRNA from 1 species